UACAGGGGGCUCGAGCGUUAGUCGGAAUCACUGGGCUUAAAGGGUGCGUAGGCGGCUCGCCAAGUGCUUUGUGAAAUCCCACAGCUCAACUGUGGAACAGCAGGGCAAACUGGCGAGCUUGAAGCAGGUAGGGGCUGGAAGAACAGUUGGUGGAGCGGUGGAGUGCGUAGAUAUCAACUGGAAUGCCGAUGGGGAAGCCGUCCAGCUGGGCCUGUCUUGACGCUGAGGCACGAAAGCGUGGGGAGCAAACAGG
rnacentral:rRNA from 1 species